CAUCUAUUCUGCUUUUUCCGUAACCAAUUUACCAAGUACUGCCCGACAAUGAGGCCAAUCUUUUACUCCUCAAGCUUUGAAUAUAUGCAAUUUGAACAUAUGCGUAACUUGAGAUCUUGUGCAGGUGUUGAGAACUAGGCUGAGGAGGUGGUGAAACAGGGCUGUGCUGCAAGCUCAAGCGCUUAGUGACCACUGUCAAGAUAGUGCUGAUACAAAUUCUGAGCGUCAGGCUGAUGUUUAUAUGAUCCGAGAUGUUGUCGACAGUUGACCAAUAAGUUGGUGUUGCAGAAGGGGUUGAGGAGGUGCUGGAACAAGGCUGUGCUGCAAGCUCAAGCGCAUAGCCAACAUGUUCAGAAUAGCGCUUAUGCAAAUGCUGGAGGUCAGGCUGAUGCGCCGAUGAUUGGAGAUGGUGCUGAGCCUGCAACGCAACUCACAGUUGACCACUAAAUUGGCCCGCUUUUUUGCUCUGUUUUGGUCUGUAAUAUGGUUAUCCAGAUGGAUAUAUUAGAACCUGGAGUGUUCAUCCUGUGUGCCUUGAUCCGACAUUGAUUGGCACGUUUGUUUGUCGGAUAAGACAACGAAUUAACGGCCUUCAGUUCAUCAGCUUAACCGAGACUCUGUAAGAAGUCAGACUAAGUGUGAUCUUGCUGUAUGCCUGAUUGUCUGUC